rnacentral:rRNA from 1 species
UACGUAGGGUGCGAGCGUUGUCCGGAUUUAUUGGGCGUAAAGAGCUCGUAGGCGGCUUGUUGCGUCGAAUGUGAAAACCCGGGGCUCAACCCCGGGCCUGCAUUCGAUACGGGCAGACUAGAGUUCGGUAGGGGAGUCUGGAAUUCCUGGUGUAGCGGUGAAAUGCGCAGAUAUCAGGAGGAACACCGGUGGCGAAGGCGGGACUCUGGGCCGAUACUGACGCUGAGGAGCGAAAGCGUGGGGAGCAAACAGG